rnacentral:rRNA from 1 species
UACGGAGGGAGCUAGCGUUGUUCGGAAUUACUGGGCGUAAAGCGCGCGUAGGCGGAUCGCUAAGUCAGGGGUGAAAUCCCAGGGCUCAACCCUGGAACUGCCUUUGAUACUGACGAUCUGGAGAUCGGGAGAGGUUGGUGGAAUUCCGAGUGUAGAGGUGAAAUUCGUAGAUAUUCGGAGGAACACCAGAAGCGAAGGCGGCCAACUGGCCCGAUACUGACGCUGAGGCGCGAAAGCGUGGGGAGCAAACAGG